rnacentral:tmRNA from 1 species
GGGGAUGCAUUGGCUUUGACAAGGAUGGAUUCGUCACUGAGCCGCAAUCCUGCCAUCGCGCUGUCUGGCAGAAAUUAGUCCAGCGCAAUUAUAAUUGCCAACAAUUAUAGAUCUUUAAGCGCCAGCAAAGAGGCCCCGGUAUUAGCUUAUGCUCCUAUCGACGGCUCCUAUGCCAUGGCCGCUUAAUUAAGGCCGCCAUUUCGCGGCCACGUCCUUCAGGCGACACCUGCUGACCUGAAAGGGCGUGAUUAGCAGGCCAAGCGUUUAUUCCGCCGCCUUAGGAAGGAACGACCAAAAAUAACAAGGCUAAGCGGCGGCGCUCUUCGCCCGUUCCUGAUCCCGCCGACGAAAACCCGAAACGGGACAUGAUUGUAGAAACUUUUUGGCUCCACCCUUGGACGCGGGUUCGACUCCCGCCAUCUCCACCA